rnacentral:rRNA from 1 species
UACGUAGGUGGCAAGCGUUGUCCGGAUUUACUGGGUGUAAAGGGCGUGCAGCCGGGCUGACAAGUCAGAUGUGAAAUCCCGCGGCUCAACCGCGGAACUGCAUUUGAAACUGUCAGUCUUGGGUACCGGAGAGGUCAUCGGAAUUCCUUGUGUAGCGGUGAAAUGCGUAGAUAUAAGGAAGAACACCAGUGGCGAAGGCGGAUGACUGGACGGCAACUGACGGUGAGGCGCGAAAGCGUGAGGAGCAAACAGG